UUUGAAAAAAUAUCAAAAAUUUCCAAGCAAUUUGAAAUUUCGAGAACGAAUGUUUGAAACUUCAAAGUUCGGAAAACAAACGGAAAUUGAAAUUCACGAGUUCAUCAUUCUUUAUCUCUUUUCCUUAUCCCCUCAUAAAACCUAACCCCUUCGCCUCCAAAACUCUUAAGAAUUAUUGUUUCACGUAAUUCCACUUGGGAUUCGACAACGGUCGAAUUCGAUACCGUUUCCAUGAAACGAUUAUCUACGAUUCUUUAACGGACUUAUUUAUCGCGAGGAAAACUACAUCUCUCUUGAGAAGAAAGUUCGUUUCGAGGUAUUACGAAUGGGUUGAAUUCACGUUAAAAGGCUAUGGGCUUUUAUGAACCGAUGACAGAGCCUCCAAUGGAAAUCGACUUUAUCACGGGGUCUGUAAAUUCGUUGACUCACAAUUCCCUUAGAUCGAGAUAUGUGGGUACCUGAUCAAACGUCGCACACACUCACCUUCUCAAGCGUAGGUAGAGAGCGCACGUAUCGUUCUUUAACGAGCAUGCGGGCUCAACGUUGGAAAUUCCGCUCGAUUUAACCGUAAUUGUUUAAUUGAAGAUCCUCCUCGCCCGGAGAUGCUACAACAGCUAAUUGCUGACGUGAAUGCAUGCUCUUCCACCCUUUUCAACUGCAAAAAUUCACGAGAGUUUCGAGACGAAAUAAAUGGAUACAUUGCAACAAAGUUUUAAA